AACGAACGCUGGCGGCAUGCCUAACACAUGCAAGUCGAGCGCCCGUAGCAAUACGGGAGCGGCGCACGGGUGAGUAACGCGUGGGAACCUGCCCAGAGGUUCGGGACAACCGCGGGAAACUGCGGCUGAUACCGGAUGAUACCUGAGGGUCAAAGAUUUAUCGCCUUUGGAGGGGCCCGCGUCGGAUUAGGUAGUUGGUGGGGUAACGGCCUACCAAGCCUAUGAUCCGUAACUGGUCUGAGAGGAUGACCCAGUCACACUGGGACUGAGACACGGCCCAGACUCCUACGGGAGGCAGCAGUGGGGAGUAUUGGACAAUGGGGGGCAACCCUGAUCCAGCAAUGCCGCGUGGGUGAUGAAGGCCUUCGGGUUGGUAAAGCCCUUUCGGCGGGGACGAUGAUGACGGUACCCGCAGAGAAGCCCCGGCUAACUUCGUGCCAGCAGCCGC
rnacentral:rRNA from 1 species